UGCAUCUAUAUACAUUCAUAAGUUCACGUACGAAAGCAAUUGUGUGGUACGAGGACUCUCGUUCGUGUAACAUUUUCUUCUAGCGAUUGAGAAUUUUGUAAAAACAUAACAGAAUCAUAAUCAAAUGAUCGGAGUACCAUCGAUAAAAAAUCUACGAUCCUCGGCUUCGAUAUCAAUACAUCCCACAUCUUGAGUUCGAAGGUUGACACGAAGUGAAAUAGAUUUCAUCGGAUAAAACUUUGCACUCUUUUUUAGAACUUUCAAUUGAGAUGAGAUGGAUACAUAGUCGAGUGCUGAAGAGUGAGCAAGCGAAAGACCCGAGGUCGAAAAGUGCAAGUGAAACGGAUAGACCUCUCUUAGUUAAAACAGGAAGCCAAGCGAAGAUUGGCGAUGAUUAUAUCAGAAUGAUGUGCAAUACUUAAUGUUAACGAGGAAGCCAUUAGUAUAUAAUAUUAAAAUAUUGGAAUCAAAAUAGAAAUUAAAACAUAGAAGUAAUAUAAUAUUAUGGUAAUAAAAGGAUAUACGUAUAUCUAUUAAUUAAAUACAAGCUAUUUAUAUAUAUGCUAAUGUCGAUCCUGCAUUAUAACUGUACAAAGGUGUAUUAGAGAAACAAAGAGAGAGAGAGAGGAUAUUAAUCAACUAUAUUCUGCGGAUUACAAAGCCUCCAAUGAUGUUUUCUUCGGGUCUUAAUUGUAAUCUCUCUUUCCCUAGUUGUUUGGGUUAUCCGCAAGAUAGUGAGGAAUUGAUCCCAAAAAUGGCACGUGAACCAAUCAUUCUUAAUGUUUAUGAUAUGUAUUGGAUAAAUGAAUACACUACACCUAUUGGUCUUGGUGUGUUUCAUUCAGGAGUGGAAAU